GCCUUCUUAGCUCAGUGGUAGAGCGCGCCACUCGUACCGCUUCUCGGUCAAUGGUGAGGUCGGUUGUUCAAUCCAGCCAGGAGGCA